UUGCAGCAACAUGGAUGGACCCAGAAAUUAUCAUGCUAAGUGAAGUCAGUCGGACAGUGAGACACCAACAUCAAAUGCUAUCACUUACAUGUGGAAUCUGAAAAAGGACACAGUGAACUUCUUUGCAGAACAGAUACUGACUCACAGACUUUGAAAAACUUAUGUUUUCCAAAUGAGACAGCUUGGGGUGGGGGAUAGCUGGGUGUUUGGAAUGGAAAUGCUAUAAAAUUGGGUUGUGAUGAUCGUUGUAAAACUAUAAAUGUCAUAAAAUGCACUGAGCAAUAAAAAAAAAAAAGUAUUUUACAUGAGAUGUUCAGCUGUUCAGAUAAGACCUUUGUAGGGCUUUGAGCUCUGAUCUGUCUUUCUCGAAAAGGCCAAACAUGAAAACCAUAGAGGUUUAGCAUUUCAGACGGAAGAAAUGCAGAUGUAAAGUCCUUGAGGAAAGAAUGAACUAGAUCUACUCUAGAAGCCGACAGAAGGCUACUGUCUAACUAGGCAACAUGCUUCUGAAGGCUAGGAACCAUGUCAUACUUUUCCUUUGUUCUGCAAAGCAUGUGACCACGUAUGAAUGCAUACACAAUCACAUAUUGUUUGGUACUAGUGAGCAGUUUUCUAGCAUGUUCAGAGCAUAUUUGACUGCCAUUUAAGAGAAGUUCGUUUUGUUUUGUUUUGUUUGCUAUUUUAGGGCCGCGCCCAUAGCAUAUGGAGCUUCCCAGGCUAGGGGUCCAAUCGGAGCUAUAGCUGCCGGCCUACACCACAGCCAGAGCAAUGCAGGAUCUGAGCCAUGUCUGCGACCUACACGUAGCUCAUGGCCAAGCUGAUGCUUAACCCACUGAGCCGAGGCCAGAGAUGGAACCUGCAUCCUCAUGGAUCCUGGUCGGGUUGUUAACUGCUGAGCCAUGAAAGGAACUCCUAGAGAAGUUCUUGUAACUGUGAUGGAUUUAAAUUUAACUUAAACUCAGAGUUUGACAUAUAGCUAAAGUCUUUCAUCGCUGAACUAACCCAGACUGAAAGCUGGAGCGCUGUGUUUACCUGUGGGUGUUGUUGCAGGGAGCAUGGAGACUACCUCUGGCCUGAGCUGUGCUGACAGGGUCUUCUUCUCAGUAUAAGUCUGAUAUCAGAAUCUCCAUUGCAAAAACAUUACACUAACUUUGGAACCAUAUUGAGCUUAAUCUGGUAUUUGACCCCUCAAGAAACCUCUUUUCAAUGAUUCAAUUAGUCAUCAAAAACGCUUUUUUCAACAGAGGGGCUAAAGCUAUGUCCUAUUACUAAUUGGCCUCCUCAUUGUUAUGCAAGAGACUGGUACUCAUCAUUAAACUUAAUUUUAAAAUUUGUGCAUUUUUUAUUGCAGUAAAAUAUACACAGCAUACAACUUGCCAUUUUAAUCAUUUUUUUUAUGCUCAGUUCCAUGGCAUUAAGCACAUUUGCAUUGUUGUACAACCGUCACUGCUCUAUAUCUCCACAACUUUUCCAUCAUCCCCCAUCAUUAAAUUAAAAAAUAUUUCAAUCCCAUUGUUACUCUCCAUAGAAUCAUCUGUCUAAAUAUGCCCAUGAAGAGGAAGCAGUUGGACUGUAGACAUAUACUGAAAUUAACAUUUAUGACUUUUCUCUUAGGGUGCAUAUUUGGAACCAAAAUACAUUUUAUCCAUGAAUCUUAAUGCAGGCAGCUUCUAAAUCCACAGUCAUGUCCUGUCUGGAGUUCCUGUUGUGGCUCAGCCAAAACAAAUUUGACUAGUAUCCAUGAGGAUAUAGGUUCGAUCCCUGGCCUCACUCAGUGGGUGAAGGAUCUGGCGUUGCCUUGAGCUGUGGUGUAGAUGACAGAUGCAGCUCGAAUCCCACGUUGCUGUGGCUGUGGCGUAGGCCGGUGGCUGUAGCUCUGAUUUGACCCCUCCUGGGAACUUCCAUGUG
rnacentral:lncRNA from 1 species